UCUGGUGGCCUUAGCACGGCGGAACCACCCGGUCCCAUUCCGAACCCGGAAGUGAAACGCUGUAGCGCCGAUG
rnacentral:rRNA from 1 species